AGUGAACGCUGGCGGUAGGCCUAACACAUGCAAGUCGAACGGCAGCACAGUAAGAGCUUGCUCUUACGGGUGGCGAGUGGCGGACGGGUGAGGAAUACAUCGGAAUCUACUUUUUCGUGGGGGAUAACGUAGGGAAACUUACGCUAAUACCGCAUACGACCUACGGGUGAAAGCAGGGGAUCUUCGGACCUUGCGCGAUUGAAUGAGCCGAUGUCGGAUUAGCUAGUUGGCGGGGUACAGGCCCACCAAGGCGACGAUCCGUAGCUGGUCUGAGAGGAUGAUCAGCCACACUGGAACUGAGACACGGUCCUGACUCCUACGGGAGGCAGCAGUGGGGAAUAUUGGACAAUGGGCGCAAGCCUGAUCCAGCCAUACCGCGUAGGUGAAGAAGGCCUUCGGGUUUUAAAGCCCUUUUGUUGGGAAAGAAAAGCAGCAGGUUAAUACCCCGCUGUUCUGACGGUACCCAAUGAAUAAGCACCGGCUAACUUCGUG
rnacentral:rRNA from 1 species